rnacentral:tRNA from 1 species
GGGGCGGAGAGCCAAG